UACCAGCCCCCCGAGUGGUCGGGACGAUUAUUGGGCCUAAAGCAUCCGUAGCCGGUUUUACAAGUCCCCCGUUAAAUCCAGCUGCUUAACAGAUGGGCUGCGGAGGAUACUAUAAGACUAGGAGGCAGGAGAGGCAAGCGGUACUCAGUGGGUAGGGGUAAAAUCCGUUGAUCCAUUGAAGACCACCAGUGGCGAAGGCGGCUUGCCAGAAUGCGCUCGACGGUGAGGGAUGAAAGCUGGGGGAGCAAACCGG
rnacentral:rRNA from 1 species